rnacentral:rRNA from 1 species
CCUUAGGAUAGCUGCAACCGGUUAAGAGUUUUAUCAGGUAAAGCGAAUGAUUAGAGGAUUCUGGGUUGAAAUGACUUGGACCUAUUCUCAAACUUUAAAUGGGCAAGACACAAUUCUGCAUUGCGAGUAUUGUGGCGAAAUGAAGUCUUCGUGUGGGCCAUUUUUGGUAAGCAGAACUGGCGAUGAGGGAUGAACCUAUUGUCGAGCUACUGUGUUUCACACCAUGAGCAUCAGAUGCCAGAAAGGGUGUUGGUUCAUCUUAACAGCAGGACAGUGGUCAUGGAAGUCGAAAUCUGCUAAGGAGUGUGUAACAACUCACCUGCCGAAUGAAGCAGCCCCGAAAAUGG